rnacentral:rRNA from 1 species
CCUACGGGUGGCAGCAGUGGGGAAUAUUGGACAAUGGGGGGAACCCUGAUCCAGCCAUGCCGCGUGUGUGAAGAAGGCCCUCGGGUUGUAAAGCACUUUCAGUGAGGAAGAACGCCUGGUGGUUAAUACCCAUCAGGAAAGACAUCACUCACAGAAGAAGCACCGGCUAACUCCGUGCCAGCAGCCGCGGUAAUACGGAGGGUGCGAGCGUUAAUCGGAAUUACUGGGCGUAAAGCGCGCGUAGGUGGCUUGAUAAGCCGGUUGUGAAAGCCCCGGGAUCAACCUGGGAACGGCAUCCGGAACUGUCAAGCUAGAGUGCAGGAGAGGAAGGUAGAAUUCCCGGUGUAGCGGUGAAAUGCGUAGAGAUCGGGAGGAAUACCAGUGGCGAAGGCGGCCUUCUGGACUGACACUGACACUGAGGUGCGAAAGCGUGGGUAGCAAACAGGAUUAGAUACCCUAGUAGUC